CUUGGUCAUUUAGAGGAAGUAAAAGUCGUAACAAGGUUUCCGUAGGUGAACCUGCGGAAGGAUCAUUAUUGUAACAAAAAAGGUGCCAGGGCUGUCGCUGACCCUCAAAGGUCGUGCACGUCCGAAGUGCUUUUUAACACAAUCCAUCUCACCCCUUUUGUGCAUCACCGCGUGGGUUUCGUCCUUUGCGGGAAGGACCUGCGUUUUUAUCAUAAAACUCGAUACAGUGUAGAAUGUUUAUUUUUGCGAUCACACGCAAUCAAUACAACUUUCAACAACGGAUCUCUUGGCUCUCGCAUCGAUGAAGAACGCAGCGAAAUGCGAUACGUAAUGUGAAUUGCAGAAUUCAGUGAAUCAUCGAAUCUUUGAACGCACCUUGCGCCCCUUGGAAUUCCGAGGGGCACACCCGUUUGAGUGUCGUGAAUAUCCUUCAACCUUUCUUGGUUUUUCAACCAAGGAAGGCUUGGACUUUGGGGGUUUUUUUUAUUGCUGGCCUCAGUCGAAGCCAGCUCCUCCUAAAUGGAUUAGUGGGGUCCACUUUGCCAAUCCUUGACGUGAUAAGAUGUUUCUACGUCUUGGAUUUCGCACUGUUGCUUUGGACUCUGCUUCUAACCGUCUUACAUUCAAGACAGAGUUUAUAAACCUUGACCUCAAAUCGGGUGAGACUACCCGCUGAACUUAAGCAUAUCAAUAAGCGGAGGA
rnacentral:rRNA from 1 species